GGAGCUUGCUCCAUGAUUCAGCGGCGGACGGGUGAGUAAUGCCUAGGAAUCUGCCUGGUAGUGGGGGACAACGUUUCGAAAGGAACGCUAAUACCGCAUACGUCCUACGGGAGAAAGCAGGGGACCUUCGGGCCUUGCGCUAUCAGAUGAGCCUAGGUCGGAUUAGCUAGUUGGUGAGGUAAAGGCUCACCAAGGCGACGAUCCGUAACUGGUCUGAGAGGAUGAUCAGUCACACUGGAACUGAGACACGGUCCAGACUCCUACGGGAGGCAGCAGUGGGGAAUAUUGGACAAUGGGCGAAAGCCUGAUCCAGCCAUGCCGCGUGUGUGAAGAAGGUCUUCGGAUUGUAAAGCACUUUAAGUUGGGAGGAAGGGCAGUAAGUUAAUACCUUGCUGUUUUGACGUUACCGACAGAAUAAGCACCGGCUAACUUCGUGCCAGCAGCCGCGGUAAUACGAAGGGUGCAAGCGUUAAUCGGAAUUACUGGGCGUAAAGCGCGCGUAGGUGGUUCAGCAAGUUGGAUGUGAAAGCCCCGGGCUCAACCUGGGAACUGCAUC
rnacentral:rRNA from 1 species